rnacentral:rRNA from 1 species
CCCUUAGAUGCUCUGGGCCGCACGCGCGCUACACUGGUCGAUGCAACGAGUUUCUUUCCUUGGCCGACAGGCCUGGGCAAUCUUUGAACAUCGAUCGUGAUCGGGAUAGAUUCUUGUAAUUUUUGAUCUUAAACGAGGAAUUCCUAGUAAACGCAAGUCAUCAGCUUGCGUUGAUUACGUCCCUGCCCUUUGUACACACCGCCCGUCGCUCCUACCGAUUGAAUGGUCCGGUGAAGCGUUCGGACCGUGGCCUUUGGACGGUUCGCCGUCUGUUGGCUGCGGGAAGUUCGUUAAACCUUAUCAUUUAGAGGAAGGAGAAGUCGUAACA